CCUACGGGAGGCAGCAGUGGGGAAUAUUGGACAAUGGGGGCAACCCUGAUCCAGCAAUGCCGCGUGUGUGAAGAAGGCCUUAGGGUUGUAAAGCACUUUAGGCGGGGAAGCGGUACCCGCAGAAUAAGCACCGGCUAACUCUGUGCCAGCAGCCGCGGUAAUACAGAGGGUGCAAGCGUUAAUCGGAAUUACUGGGCGUAAAGGGCGCGUAGGUGGUUAGUUAAGUAAGUUGUGAAAGCCCCGGGCUCAACCUGGGAAUGGCAACUUAAACUGGCUGGCUGGAGUACAUGAGAGGGUAGUGGAAUUUCCGGUGUAGCGGUGAAAUGCGUAGAUAUCGGAAGGAACACCAGUGGCGAAGGCGACUACCUGCUGAUACUGACACUGAGGCGCGAAAGCGUGGGGAGCAAACAGGAUUAGAUACCCUUGUAGUC
rnacentral:rRNA from 1 species